AUGGAAGCCCUGCCCGCCGACUUCCUCGCGGAGACCAAAGGGUGGCGCUUCAUCGCCGAGUGGGGCGCGCAAGAGCAGGUGCUGCGGCACCGCGCCGUGGGGGGCUUCCUGACGCACAGCGGGUGGAACUCGACGAUGGAGAGCAUCUGGGCCGGCGUGCCGAUGAUUUGCGCGCCGGGGUUCACGGACCAGUACAUCAACAGCCGGUACGUGUGCGGGGAGUGGGGCGUCGGGCUGCGCCUGGACGAGCAGCUGCGGCGAGAGCAGGUGGCGCGCACAUCGAGGAGCUCAUGGGCGGUGGCGAGAGGGGCGAGGAGAUGA
rnacentral:rRNA from 1 species